UCAAACUUUUCAGCGAAGCGCAUAAGUUGUUUUUCACUGUUGAAUCGUAAGAAGGAGCCAUAUUUAUAACAAUAAACUGGUGGACGAGUGGCGGAAGAGGAGGCAACAUUUUUGCCGGCACGAGCACGUUUGGAGUUUCUGCCCGACAUUUUGAAUAAGUAGUAAUAGCCUUUGAAAGAAAUCUGAGAAAUUUUGAGAGUUUGGGAGAUAAGUUUGAUGUAUGAGUGAAG
rnacentral:lncRNA from 1 species